CCUACGGGAGGCAGCAGUGGGGAAUAUUGCGCAAUGGGCGAAAGCCUGACGCAGCGACGCCGCGUGAGUGAAGAAGGUUCUCGGAUCGUAAAACUCUGUUGGUAGAGAAGAACGUUGGUGAGAGUGGAAAGCUCAUCAAGUGACGGUAACUACCCAGAAAGGGACGGCUAACUACGUGCCAGCAGCCGCGGUAAUACGUAGGUCCCGAGCGUUGUCCGGAUUUAUUGGGCGUAAAGCGAGCGCAGGUGGUUUAUUAAGUCUGGUGUAAAAGGCAGUGGCUCAACCAUUGUAUGCAUUGGAAACUG
rnacentral:rRNA from 1 species